rnacentral:rRNA from 1 species
UACGAGAGGCCCAAACGUUAUUCGGAAUUACUGGGCUUAAAGAGUCCGUAGGCGGCGCAGAAAGUAGGGUGUGAAAGCCCUCGGCUUAACCGAGGAAUUGCGCUCUAAACUACUGUGCUUGAGGAACCUAGAGGUGAGCGGAACUGAUGGUGGAGCGGUGAAAUGCGUUGAUAUCAUCAGGAACACCGGAGGCGAAGGCGGCUCACUGGGGGUUAUCUGACGCUGAGGGAUGAAAGCCAGGGGAGCGAACGGG